rnacentral:lncRNA from 10 species
GCACCACAAAGGAAGAGAAGGAAACAGCUGAGCAUGAAAACAGGGAGCUACAGUCAAAGGAGUUCCUUUCAGCGAAGGAAGAGACCCCAGGGGCAGGGCAGAAGCAGGAACUCCGCUCCUUCUGGAGCUACGCUUUCUCUCGGCGCUUUGCCUGGCACCUGGUGUGGCUGUCUGUGAUACAGUUGUGGCACUACCUCUUCAUUGGCACUCUCAACUCCUUGCUGACCAACAUGGCCGGUGGGGACAUGGCACGAGUCAGCACCUACACAAAUGCCUUUGCCUUCACUCAGUUCGGAGUGCUGUGUGCCCCCUGGAAUGGCCUGCUCAUGGACCGGCUUAAACAGAAGUACCAGAAGGAAGCAAGAAAGACAGUUUCCCUUCAGAGCACUUUGGCAAGCUCUUUGGGCUGGUGAUGGCCUUGUCGGCUGUGGUGUCUCUGCUCCAGUUCCCCAUCUUCACCCUCAUCAAAGGCUCCCUUCAGAAUGACCCAUUUUACGUGAAUGUGAUGUUCAUGCUUGCCAUUCUUCUGACAUUCUUCCACCCCUUUCUGGUAUAUCGGGAAUGCCGUACUUGGAAAGAAAGUCCCUCUGCAAUUGCAUAGUUCAGAAGCCCUCACUUUUCAGCCCCGAGGAUGGUUUUGUUCAUCUUCCACCACCUUUGAGGACCUCGUGUCCCAAAAGACUUUGCCUAUCCCAGCAAAACACACACACACACACACACACACACAAAAUAAAGACACACAAGGACGUCUGCGCAGCAAGAAAAGAAUCUCAGUUGCCAAGCAGAUUGAUAUCACACAGACUCAAAGCAAAGGCAUGUGGAACUUCUUUAUUUCAAAACAGAAGUGUCUCCUUGCACUUAG